GCGGGAGUAGCUCAACGGAAGAGCGGCGGCGUCAUGAGCCGCAGGGUGAAGGUUCAAAUCCUUCUUCCCGUU
rfam:Bellilinea caldifistulae strain GOMI-1 contig_3, whole genome shotgun sequence.